AAACUGUCCAUUUAUAAACUUUCAUGAAAGGUUAAAAAGUAAAGAAAAGUUAGGAAUAAUGAAAGGAUAAAAAAAGAAACUAUUCAUGCAAUGUUAAAAUUCAUCCCUUCGUUUUUAUUUGACCUCCUUACUAGAUAAGUUAUAGAGAGAAACAAAAAUUUUAUAAAUAUCAAAAUUGUAAGUUAUAAAAAAUAUGGCUGAAGUUUUAAAAAAUUUACCUUAUAAAGAUAUAAAACAUCACUCUAGUUCUUGUACAUGCAAGGUAUAAAAACUAUGGCUGAAAUUUUCAAAUUUUUGUAUACUUUGAGUCUAUAUUUUUUCUUAUUUCUUUCAGUAGCGACGGUACAGACAGCGACACAGGUUGUUGGUAAGCCAUUUUUUUCUUUAAAAAAUUCUUUAAUUUGUAAUUUGCACAAAAUCCUUGUUAUAAUAUCACAUAAGUUGUCAUUUAACUAUUGUAUCUGAGGCUUAUAAUUUUAUAUAUUUUUUCUAUUUCUAAUUUUAUGUACCCUGUAUUUUUUUUUUAUAUUCUUAGAUGAUGAUAUGGAAACAUAGAAUAUGAUUCUAAUAGUCUUAUUCUCUCUAAAAUUUUGAAGGUUUCUGGUUGACAUCCAAUUUGUGUAUAUCACACAAUAUUUUAAACAAUCCACCUACAUGUAAGAAUAACUUUAUUGGUUAAGUUAAAAGAUAAUUUUUAUUUUACUUCAAAGCUUUAAGUUUUAUGUAAGAAUAUAUUUUAUUUGAGUUUGUUAAGAUCGUGAGUUAACUCGUAGAAUCAGAUGAUUCCACAAAUCUAGAUAUAAAUUUUGAGUUGAAUCAAAUGUAAAUUCGAAUAGAGUAAACUCGGUAAGUCAUCAAGUUUAUUUUGUUGAAUUUGUAUUAUGCGCAAGAGAAAACUUGGUAGACCUCUAAGAAAACUCAAAUAAACUAAAAAUAUGUAAAUAAUUUGUUUUAUCUUUGUCUUAGUUUUCACAAUCCUUUAUUUUAUUAUUUAUGUUUGAGUUUAAGCUUUUAAGUAUUGUAAAAUUGAAAGGUUCAACCAUACAAGAAAAAUUGAUGUUUAAGACAAAGAUUAAUGUCAACCAAGAUAAAUGGACACAAAUAAAAUUAAUUUGUAGCAACAAGUGUUAGCGAAUCCGCACGAGCAAGAAUAAAAUAAAAGACAAAUACACAUAUAAUUUAUUUAUCCAUUUCAAUCAAAUGAUCUACUAUAGGAUAGGAGUAGCUCUCUGAAUCACUAUACUUCAAGAGUUUUACUAGAGAUUAUAAGAUGAGUUACGAGAAAAUAUCAUUCCAAAUUCAAAAGAAUAUAUCAUAGUUUUUACCUAAGUGUUUCUCAAUCUCUCAUACUCUCAAUAUA
rnacentral:lncRNA from 1 species